rnacentral:lncRNA from 7 species
AAGUUGUUGUUAACACUUUCAAGUUUAAAACGAAAUUCGCUGCGUCUAGCGGGGAUUAGAGGAGGAAAAAGACUAAAGACAGAAUCUCCUUGACCAUUUACCCCACUGACAGAUCUUAAAUAAAUGAGUUUCAGUUCAUUUGACUGAACAGAACCACCAGGUUAAGACUGAACGUCGGAAACGCGUGUCAUAAGGAGAAUAAGCCCAUUUCUUCCCUCAGUUACAAAAACUAAGAGAAUAUGAGAGAAAAUUACGAGAAGUCUGAGAGAAUAUCUGCAGCAGCACGCCCUGUACUGCACAGCAGCAGCGAGCAGAAGAGUGUUAUCUGACCAUCGGCUUACAAGAUUUUCCAAGCAAUCCAUCCUGGGCCAAUACCUUGCAGCACUAAUCCUGCUAGUCUGCUCAACUGCCCUCUCCGAGUAAUACUUUUAUCAGCAGUUAAGUAAGAGUUCCCUGUAUUUGUGCCGUGUCUGUUUUUCCCACCUCCAAAAAGAAGACAAAUAACAUUACUUACAAUCUUCAGUUUAGAGUGCAAAACUGAAGACUGAACAUAAAUUACCUGCUGCAUGGCAACACAGCAAACUGUAGACCUGUGCAUGAGGUGAAAAAAACACAAAAACGCUGUACCUAAACAAUGCCUAUAGCUAACACAAAGCCCCAUGUCUGAACUUCAUGUUUUAGAUUUAAUGUGCAUUUCCAGCUGAGCACAAUGGAAAGUUAGCAUAAAUAUGUGAAUAAUUUUUAAAGCCCUCCUUUAAUCUACAGCACAAACACAUAUAUAUUAAAAAAAAAAAAAGGAAUCUUUUCCUACUCACAAAAACCAUCAAGGGAAAUAGAAUAAUUCAAGUCAUUUCCCAUUUGUAGUUACUGAGACACAAGAUAUAUUUAAACAGUUGGUACAGAAAAAAUGGAAAGCAUCUACCAUAUCAAUGUACAGCUAGCAUGCCAAACCAUUAAUGUAAGAGCUAAACAAGAGAUGAAUACAUCAUGUGCAAUAGUCUCACAUGAUAUAAAUUAUUCAAUACCUGACCAAAGAAAACAGCUUUCAGGAGAGAGGGGGAGGAUCUGAAAAUACUUUUGUAGUUUGAAUAAAUACAG